GUUGAUGGCUAGUGCUACAGUGGAGCGAGUGCAGAUUACUAGCAUCAAGGAUUUUUGCUUUUGGACAAUAAUGGACGCAAUGUAGGACAGCACAUGUUGUUAGAAGCAGCAGAACUCAUCAGGAAUGAGGACAGAACUGCUGAAAUAGGGGUUAUUUGUGAAUAGCCAACCGUAGUGAACAGUGAAGAAGUGCUCACCGACUUCUUAAUGUUCACUGUUCAUCAAGAACAAGCAAGGGUAACAUUGCGCAUUUCGCUUUGACUUACUCGAAUCGAGAAAAAAACUUGUUUCGAAGGGGGAUUGGUAUUGCGAGUUAUUUUCGACAUACCCAUUUCAUUGCAGUUGAUUUCGAGCAAACAAUGAUUCGAAAAUAAAUGUCAAAUUUGUCCAAAAGCUAGACAAUUUUAUUUUCGUGUAAAAUA